GAGGAGAAUGAGAAGGAGAAGGAGAGGAGAUGGUUAUGAAGAUGAUAGAUAGAGAUUCUGAUCGAGAAGGAGAUGGAGAAGGAGAGGAGAUGGUUAGGGAUUGGUUGAGAAAAAGAGAUGGAGAAGGAGAGGAGAUGGUUGUGAAGAUGAGCUAGGGAUUCUGAAGGAAAUGGAGAGAAAAAGAUGGAAGGAGGUUUUGUAGUAGACCUA
rnacentral:lncRNA from 1 species